GAAAUAAAUAAACUAGCAAAAUAUCCAUGGAAAGUAAUUAACCUCAAGUUUUGGUUUGGUUUUUUACAUGCAAACAGAGCAUAAUCCUGGUUGUUCAAAGUAACUGAAAAAGUCAAGGAAAACUCACCUGCUCAGUUAUUUUCAAGAUGAGAGAGUAGAAAUAGUGGCUUUUAAGAUUAUGAUGGAUACUGUUUCAGCAAUGAUCUCCAGUAAGUUUUAUGUUAAUACACUCUUCUGUUUUCCUGACAUGACCCGCUUUUCCUCUUUCUAGCUAGAUUUCAUUUAGACAAUUUGGCAUGUUUUUCUUCUAGCAAAUAAAAGCUAUGAUUACUGGCAGCUAAUGAGACUGCUUUAUGCUCAUGCUGGAAGGAUGGAAGCAAGAUGGGAAGGCAGGAAGGCUUCCAUGAGUGUUUUCACUCCCCAACUGUGUACAUCUCCAAAAGCUGGACCAGGUACCAAAAAGCGCCACUGGCACAGCUUCAGCAUGUGUUACCUCACUAUAAAACCUGAGCAGCUGUUCACAAGCUUUCAUACAGCCUGCGCAGCUCCUGCACGUUCCAUCCCUUUGGAAAGUCAGCGCUGACUGAGGUCAGCGCAGACAUCUGAAAGGCUGGGUAACCUCAGAGAAAUGUGUAACAUGUGGGGAAUGGGUGUGACAAAAUAUUAAAAAAUUUGGCAGUGAUUUACAGCUUUAUUGCAGAUCUGUCAUAAUUUAAAAGUAAAUGGGGUGGUAUUAUAGGAUACAAGCAAUCAAGUUCUGAAUUCAGAUGGGUCUCUCUCUUAAUAAAGUAAACUGACUUGAUCAUUUGUAUAUAACACUUUUCAUUAGGUAGUAGAUAUAUUCAGUACCAUGGGAAUCAACAUGGCUUAUCUUUCCAAACUGCAAUGCCAUCAAUUUAAGUUUCAAUUUCAAAACUUUAGAUUAUUGUAACUUUCAAAGGUAGUGUAGCUUAGUUCUUGGAUAUGAAGGUCAGUGCUUCUGAAUACGUGCUCAACUGAGCAAAGAACUUGCAUUUUUGAUACAUUCAUAACACAGAUGUUACAACGUUGAAGUGCUCCUCGCAUACUUAGCAAAACAAAGGGCUAUGUUAUGCUUUAAACAUCUGGUUUUUGCUACUUUGGGAAGAAGAGAUAGGUGGCUGUGGAGGCAGAUGCCUUGUCUUUUCUUUCCCAAGGCCCUGUGAAACAAAGCAUAAAUUUUUGAGAUAGAGACAAUUAACAGUGUUGCUGUCAAAGCCUCCUGGUCUGAUUGGGAUGAUCAGAGAUGAACCACCUGGUGGACGACCAAUUGCAAGAAGAAAUCAUGAACCAACAGCUACCCCCGAUGGACAAAACAACACACUUCUGAAAUAUCCCUCACAAUUUAAAAUAUGAAAUUUCUACCAUGAAGCUACACGGCAUUUCUAUUAUUUACUGAAGGAAGUUUAGUAAGUUGCUUGCUUUCAGUAUUUUAUCUCCCUAGCAGAGUCUAAAACAAUACAUUCACAAAUAUAACACCACUGGAGCCGCUAGUGCCAUUUGUCCUCCAAACAGUGCAUAACUCCAAUUGAACAAAACAAACAAUGUCCAUCAGAUCAGGGUGUGUGAGUACGCAGGUAUGUACCUGAAGAGAGUAAGGGUAGGAUUUUAAGAGUGCUGAGCAACCACAACACUAGAUCCAAAGAUGAGACAACAAUCAAAACUGGGAGGUGUGAAGUUGGGUAUUGUUAAUUCAGAUGUAAGUGCUAUGAAUAGCUAACCUGCUCAAGCGAUCUAUAGAUGAUGAAAACUGUUCUCCAAGAUCAGAACUUCGUCCAGUUGACACUUUCCUUUCUUGUCAGAUCCAAAGUGAAGUCUUUGCAGAACAAAAGUGAAAACUGAAGAAUUUCCAUUGUAAAAUGGCAUUAUUAUUCCUUCUCUUUUUUCACUAUUUGACAUUAAAAAGCUAAAAACAUCCCUAUACGAA